AACGAACGCUGGCGGCGUGUUUAAGACAUGCAAGUCGCACGGUGUCAUUUUGGUAGCAAUACUUGGAUGGCACAGUGGCGCACGGGUGAGUAACACGUGAAUGACAUGCCCUUCAGAGGGGGAUAGCCCAGGGAAACUUGGAUUAAUACCCCAUGGUCUCGCGAGAGUAAAGGUGGCCGCAAGGCUGUCGCUGGAGGAUUGGUUCGCGUUCUAUCAGCUUGUUGGCGGGGUAACGGCCCACCAAGGCUACGACGGAUACCUGGUCUGAGAGGACGAUCAGGCACACUGGAACUGGGACACGGUCCAGACACCUACGGGUGGCAGCAGUCGAGAAUAAUUCACAAUGGGGGCAACCCUGAUGGUGCAACGCCGCGUGGAGGAUGAAGGUCUUCGGAUUGUAAACUCCUGUCAUCCGGGAGCAAGACCUGGCCGUGAAUAGCGGACAGGGUUGAUAGUACCGGAAGAGGAAGGGACGGCUAACUUCGUGCCAGCCGCCGCGGUAAUAC
rnacentral:rRNA from 1 species